rnacentral:rRNA from 1 species
UCUAGCGACCUCCACCAGUAGUUAUAUGCUUGUCUCAAAGAUUAAGCCAUGACCAUNUAGCNANNUNCACACGAAUUAAAAGUGAAACCGCAAAAGGCUCAUUAUAUCAGUUAUGGUUCAUUAGAUCGUUAACAGUUACUUGGAUAACUGUGGUAAUUCUAGAGCUAAUACAUGCAUUAUAAGCACGGACCUUUUGGAACGUGUGCUUUUAUUAGGCUAAAACCAAGCGAUUCUUUCGGGAAUCGUUGACUGGUUGAACUCUAGAUAACUUGCAGAUCGUAUGGUCUUGUACCGACGACAGAUCUUUCAAAUGUCUGCCCUGUCAACUAUUGAUGGUAGUAUCUAGGACUACCAUGGUUGCAACGGGUAACGGGGAAUCAGGGUUCGAUUCCGGAGAGGGAGCCUGAGAAACGGCUACCACAUCUAAGGAAGGCAGCAGGCGCGUAAAUUACCCACUCCCAGCACGGGGAGGUAGUGACGAAAAAUAACAAUACAGGACUCGUAUCCGAGGCCCUGUAAUUGGAAUGAGUACACUUUAAAUCCUUUAACAAGGACCNAUUGGAGGGCAAGUCUGGUGCCAGCAGCCGCGGUAAUUCCAGCUCCAAUAGCGUAUAUUAAAGUUGUUGCGGUUAAAACGUUCGUAGUUGAACUUGUGCUCCAUACGGGUAGUACACCCAUCAAUUGGGUUUGUACAUUACUCUAUGGUAUGUGAGCGUAUUACCGGUGGAGUUCUUAUAUGUUAUGGUACUUGUAUUAUAGCGUAUUCCUCCUAUUCAAACCUACUUCAGUGCUCUUCAUCGAGUGUUGUUGUGGGCCGGUACAAUUACUUUGAACAAAUUAGAGUGCUUAAAGCAGGCUUCAAAUGCCUGAAUAUUUGUGCAUGGAAUAAUGGAAUAAGACCUCUGUUCUACUUUCAUUGGUUUAUAGAUCAAGAGGUAAUGAUUAAUAGAAGCAGUUUGGGGGCAUUAGUAUUACGACGCGAGAGGUGAAAUUCUUGGACCGUCGUAAGACUAACUUAAGCGAAAGCAUUUGCCAAAGAUGUUUUCAUUAAUCAAGAACGAAAGUUAGAGGUUCGAAGGCGAUCAGAUACCGCCCUA